rnacentral:rRNA from 1 species
AUGGACUCGGGCACCACCGCUCAUAUGACAUGUCAUCCCGGUAACCUCACAUCUUCCACCCCCAUUCGUACUCCCACUCGUAUCACUGUUGGUAAUGGUUCCUCCUUGCCCAUUACACAUGUCAGUCAUAUGUCAUUUCCAUCUACUUCUACUCCUAUUAACAUGAUUAAUGUUCUUGUCUCUCCUGACUUAGUUAUGAACCUUGUGUCCGUUCGUCGCCUUGCUCAUGAGAAUCCUAUUAGUGUCAAAUUUGAUGAUGUUGGCUUUUCUGUGAAGGACGCCCGUACCCGAAUUGUACUCCACCUAUGUGAUAGCCCCGACGAGCUCUAUCUGGUGCAUCCCUCUGCUGCCGCCACCCCCGCCACCAGUCCAGCCACCCUCGCCGCCAGUGUCGAUCUUUGGCAUGAUCGUCUCGGUCAUCCCAACUCCACAGUUUUGCGUCAGAUUCUUCAGAGUUUUUCUUUCUCAUGUAAUAAGGUUGACAACCAUACUUGUGAGGCUUGUCGUCUCGGCAAGCACGUUCGUCUUCACUUUAGCGCGUCUACAACUAUUUCCAAUUUUCCGUUCCAGUUAUUGCAUAGUGAUGUUUCGAUGUCCUCGGUUGCAAGCACACGGGCUAUCUAUACUAUUUGGUGA